UACUCUCGGUAGGUGAGGUUACUUUAAGGAUACGGGUUGCUGCCGUAAAAGGGUGGAGACACUCUGCACUGGUUAGCAGAUUUUGUCGUUUCAAGGCAAAUCUAAUGCAAUUUCAAGCCUUAUUGAGCUAAAACUUGAACGAAU
rnacentral:sRNA from 1 species